rnacentral:rRNA from 1 species
CACCAACUGGAGGACCGCACCCACGCCUGUUGAAAAAGUCGGGGAUGACUUGUAGCUAGGGGUGAAAGGCCAAUCAAACUCGGAAAUAGCUGGUUCUCCGCGAAAACUAUUUAGGUAGUGCGGCAAGCGAAUACCUUGAGGGGUAGAGCACUGGAAGAAUGAGGGGGGAGCGAUCCUUACUAAAUUUUACCAAACUCCGAAUACUCAAGAGUAAUACUUGCCAGACAGACAGUAGGUGCUAAGGUCUAUUGUCGAGAGGGAAAGAGCCCAGACCGUCAAUUAAGGUCCCUAAAUUAUGGCUAAGUGGUAAAGGAAGUGAAUUGUCCAAAACAGUCAGGAGGUUGGCUUAGAAGCAGCCAUCCUUUAAAGAAAGCGUAAUAGCUCACUGAUCUAAUUAAGACGAUUUGCGCCGAAGAUGUAACGGGGCUAAAGCCAUAUACCGAAAUUACGGGUUUGUACUAAGUACAAGCGGUAGCGGAGCGUUCUGUAAGCCUGCGAAGGUGUUCCGUAAGGAAUGCUGGAGGUAUCAGAAGUGAGAAUGCUGACAUGAGUAGCGAAAAGAAGUGUGAGAGACACUUCCGCUGAAAGUCCAAGGUUUCCUGCGUAAAGCUAAUCUGCGCAGGGUUAGUCGGCCCCUAAGGUGAGGCUGAGAAGCGUAGCUGAUGGGAAGCAGGUUAAUAUUCCUGCACCAGCUAGGAGGUGACGGAUUUCAAAGAUUGUAACUGAUUAUUGGAUUUCGGUUGCAGUUCAGAAGUUCCAGGAAAGAGCCCUAGCAUAGACCGUACCCAAAACCGACACAGGUGGACAGGUAGAGAAUCCAAAGCGCUUGAGAGAACUAUGUUGAAGGAACUAGGCAAAAUGCUUGUGUAACUUCGGGAUAAGCAAGCCCCAUUUUUAGGCAACUAAAGGUGGGGGGCACAUACUAGGGGGUAGCGACUGUUUACUAAAAACACAGGGCUCUGCUAAAUUGAAAGAUGAAGUAUAGGGUCUGACGCCUGCCCGGUGCUGGAAGGUUAAGGAGAGAUGUUCACGCAUUGAACUGAAGCCCCAGUAAACGGCGGCCGUAACUAUAACGGUCCUAAGGUAGCGAAAUUCCUUGUCGGGUAAGUUCCGACCUGCACGAAUGGCGUAACGACUUCCCCGCUGUCUCCAACAUAGGCUCAGCGAAAUUGAACUCUGAGUUAAGAUGCUCAGUACCCGCGGUUAGACGGAAAGACCCCGUGAACCUUUACUAUAGCUUUGCAGUGGUAUUAGGUAAUAGAUGUGUAGAAUAGGUGGGAUGCUAUGAAGCAGGGACGCUAGUUCUUGUGGAGCAGACUUUGAAAUACCACCCUUUUGUUAUUUGAUAUCUAACCUGCUCCCGUAGAUCCGGGAGAGGGACCC